rnacentral:rRNA from 1 species
UAACGUAGGGUGCAAGGCGUUAAUCGGAAUUACUGGGCGUAAAGCGUGCGCAGGCGGCUUUGCAAGACAAGAUGUGAAAUCCCCGGGCUCAACCUGGGAACUGCAUUUGUGACUGCAUGGCUAGAGUACGGUAGAGGGGGAUGGAAUUCCGCGUGUAGCAGUGAAAUGCGUAGAUAUGCGGAGGAACACCGAUGGCGAAGGCAAUCCCCUGGACCUGUACUGACGCUCAUGCACGAAAGCGUGGGG